GCUGGGUGUGGUGGUGCACGCCUGUAAUCCUAGCACCUUGAGAGGCUGAGGCAGGAGAAUUCCAAGUUCAAGGUCAGCCUCAGUAACUUAGUGAGACCCUAAGCAACUUAGUAAGAUCCCGUCUCAG
rnacentral:sRNA from 1 species